AUGUCGGAGCAGCAGUUCGCGAUGGACUCGGCGGCCGGUGCCGGAGGCAGCUCGGCGGAGUCGGCGGAGCAGCCCGAGGGGCUGACGGGGGCUGGGGCGGGGGGCGCCGGCGGGGGAGGCGGCGGCGCCGGCGGCGCCGAGUCGGAGGGAGCCAAGAUCGACGCCAGCAAGAACGAGGAAGACGAGGGGAAGAUGUUUAUUGGUGGCCUUAGUUGGGACACCACCAAGAAAGACCUGAAGGACUAUUUCUCUAAGUUUGGUGAAGUGGUAGACUGCACCUUGAAGCUGGAUCCCAUCACAGGGCGGUCGAGAGGCUUCGGCUUUGUGCUCUUCAAGGAGUCGGAGAGCGUGGAUAAGGUCAUGGACCAGAAAGAACACAAGCUGAAUGGCAAGGUCAUUGACCCCAAAAGAGCUAAAGCCAUGAAAACAAAAGAACCUGUGAAAAAGAUUUUUGUUGGGGGCUUAUCUCCAGACACACCUGAAGAGAAAAUAAGGGAAUAUUUUGGAGGUUUUGGUGAGGUUGAAUCAAUAGAGCUCCCCAUGGACAACAAAACCAACAAGAGGCGUGGGUUUUGCUUCAUUACUUUCAAGGAGGAGGAACCUGUGAAGAAAAUCAUGGAAAAGAAAUACCACAACGUUGGGCUUAGUAAAUGUGAAAUCAAAGUAGCCAUGUCAAAGGAGCAGUACCAGCAGCAGCAGCAGUGGGGGAGCCGGGGAGGAUUCGUUGGAAGAGCUCGAGGGAGAGGUGGAGGCCCCAGCCAAAACUGGAACCAGGGCUACAGCAACUACUGGAAUCAAGGGUAUGGGAACUAUGGCUACAACAGCCAAGGGUACGGAGGCUAUGGAGGAUACGACUACACUGGUUACAACAACUACUAUGGAUAUGGUGACUAUAGCAAUCAGCAGAGUGGCUAUGGGAAAGUAUCUCGACGAGGAGGUCAUCAAAAUAGCUACAAACCCUACUAAAUUAUUCCAUUUGCAACUUAACCCAAACAGCGGGAGGUUCCUUGCAGGCCCCUGUGUCGCGCUGACUUCACGAUUCUCACAGGCCCGCUCAAUGCGGACAGGGUACGAGAUGCUCACGCUCUCGAAUGCUGCCGUUUGGUGGAGAACACAGUAAUUUUCUCAGUUGGAAGAUUCAGUUGAAGGUGGCACCACGCUGCCUGCUAUAUAAUAGCAGUUCAAACUAAGUUCAAACUAAUUUUUAUUUUAUGUUUGGGGUUUGUUUUUUUCCCUCUUUUAAUUUAAUUUUAUUUUUUCAGUAUCAAGCCCAUGAGAUUGGAAGUUUAAAAAAAAAACAAAAACAACCAACAAACAAAAAGACAUUUGGGUCCCCUUUUUUUUUUAUCCCCC